rnacentral:rRNA from 1 species
AGGACGAACGCUGGCGGCGUGCCUAACACAUGCAAGUCGAGCGGGGAACCCCUCGGGGGUUUCAGCGGCGGACGGGUGAGUAACGCGUGAGCAACCUUUCCUUCACAGGGGGAUAACGCAGCGAAAGCUGUGCUAAUACCGCUUAAGACCACAAUGUCGCAUGGCGAAGGGGUCAAAAGGAGAAAUCCGGUGAAGGGUGGGCUCGCGUCUGAUUAGCUAGUUGGCGGGGUAACAGCCCACCAAGGCAACGAUCAGUAGCCGACCUGAGAGGGUGAUCGGCCACACUGGGACUGAGACACGGCCCAGACUCCUACGGGAGGCAGCAGUGGGGAAUAUUGGGCAAUGGGGGGAAACCCUGACCCAGCAACGCCGCGUGAGGGAAGAAGGUUUUCGGAUCGUAAACCUCUGUCCUCAGGGACGAAGAAAUGACGGUACCUGAGGAGGAAGCCCCGGCUAACUACGUGCCAGCCGCCGC